ensembl:lncRNA
CUGGUGUAAUCAGCUGUUUGAGUAUAACUCUGGUCUAUUUGCUUUUGUUUUCUAGCUACUCGUUUUGAGACAAUCCGUAAACUGAACUCACUGCUGAAGGAAGAAGAACCUACAGAGCUGACAAAGAGGGCCUCAGUGGCCCCCCAAAAAUAUGGGGACGAUUCAGAUUGCUAAACUGAUAUUGAAACUCAGUCUCAGCAAGCAAAGAAGUCAAAGGCUCCCAGGAGGAUAGACCCUGCAGAAGAGUUUCUUAGGCUAUACGGUCAAUCACAGCCUUCUUCAGAUAAUCACAACAGUCCGACUCAGACUGUGGCUGAAUUAAAGCAGGAGAUCAAGGACCUGAAAGAAGAGAACGCGAAGUUGAAGGAGAUUGUUCUUCAAGAUGUGCCAGGACUCCUACUGAGUUUGAGGAAUAUAAUAGAUUCGGCUGCACCUCCUAAGAGAUCCAGGGUGGAGCCUACCAAAGCAUUACCGGCCCUUCCAGGGUCUCCGCAGUCCAGGUCCAGUUCUCCAUGUGCCACUUCGCUGUCCCUCCCCAGAUCUACGCUGUCCAGUUCCACAUCUGUGUCUCCAUCCCUGACUGCCUCCCAGUCUUCUAAGGUUGAGAUCCAUCCUGGGAUCGGAGUCAUGGUUGAGAAACUGGCGUGGGCCUAUGCCAUCAAUGCCAAUUCGGCAACAGUCUUUGUGAGACAUCUGCUCACUGCAGUCUUUCCAGUGGAAAUACUGCUGGUGCAACUCUUGAGAAGUGGCCUGGGACCCAGCUUUCCAGCAUUGGAAGUACGAUCAAUGCCAAGAUUACAGAACUCUGGUCAAAAAGUAAAAAUGCUGGUGUGUACACAGCUCCACAUUAAACUGUUUUGUUUGCUCUGAGUUUCACACAGGUGUAUCACAUAGUCCUUGGCCCUGGGGCAAAACAGGUUCUGACUACUGUCUACUGAAAGUAUUUACUGCUUAUGGUGCCUGUUUAUUCUGAGGUAUCCAGUGUGCAGAAGAACAAAACUGGCAUAUAUGUAAGCCAUUAAGGCAUUUUAAGUUUACAUUCUAAAAUGUUUUUGUUUGUGUACUUUGCAAUUUCAAAAUUGAGUAUACUCAAAAUAUCUAAGUAAACAGUAUAGGCAAUAUUAGCAUUAUGCUCAGAGCGAUUGAUUGCACUUAAGCCCCAUGCCUCGUUCCUUGAAUGUGAAUACACCUGUUUGUAUUGACAAUGUUUAGUUGUUGGUGACACUGUUCCCAUGUUAGAAUAGGAAUAGGAUAAGCAUGUGCUCCUCAGGUUUGUAUGCAGGCUUGUAGUGUGUGUAAAUAUCAAAUUGUGAAAGAUAUUCCUAUGUAGUCAC